CAGCAGCCGCGGGAAUACGAAGGGGGCUAGCGUUGCUCGGAAUGACUGGGCGUAAAGGGCGCGUAGGCGGCAUGUACAGUCAGAAGUGAAAUUCCUGGGCUCAACCUGGGGACUGCUUUUGAUACGUGCAGGCUAGAGUGAGGAAGAGGGUUGUGGAAUUUCCAGUGUAGAGGUGAAAUUCGUAGAUAUUGGAAAGAACACCGGUGGCGAAGGCGGCAACCUGGUCCUUUACUGACGCUGAGGCGCGAAAGCGUGGGGAGCAAACAGGAUUAGAUACCCCUGUAGUCCCUGUCUCUUAUAA
rnacentral:rRNA from 1 species